CCUACGGGUGGCAGCAGUGGGGGAUAUUGCACAAUGGAGGGAACUCUGAUGCAGCGACGCCGCGUGAGGGAAGAAGGUUUUCGGAUUGUAAACUUCUUUUAAGAGGGAAGAGCAGAAGACGGUACCUCUUGAAUAAGCCACGGCUAACUACGUGCCAGCAGCCGCGGUAAUACGUAGGUGGCAAGCGUUGUCCGGAUUUACUGGGUGUAAAGGGCGUGCAGCCGGGAAGACAAGUCAGAUGUGAAAUCCCGCGGCUCAACCGCGGAACUGCAUUUGAAACUGUUUUUCUUGAGUACCGGAGAGGUCAUCGGAAUUCCUUGUGUAGCGGUGAAAUGCGUAGAUAUAAGGAAGAACACCAGUGGCGAAGGCGGAUGACUGGACGGCAACUGACGGUGAGGCGCGAAAGCGUGGGGAGCAAACAGGAUUAGAUACCCUUGUAGUC
rnacentral:rRNA from 1 species